rnacentral:ncRNA from 1 species
CUAUGAGCGAUCCUGGACGGUGCCCCUUCGGGGGUGAAAAGGGAAUGCGGUGAGGGGAGACCCGACUCCGCGGCUGCCCCCGCAACUGUGAGCGGCGAGUUCCUGCCACCAGCCACCGGCACGAUCCGGGAAGGCGGCAGGCGCGAGGAUCCGCGAGCCAGGAGACCUGCCGUCCACCGGGAAGACCCU